ensembl:lncRNA
ACACAGGAAACCACGUCACACGGGAAAACCACAACAGGAAACCACGUCACACGGAAACCACGUCACAGGAAACCACGUCACACAGGAAACCACGUCACAACGGAAACCACUUCACAGGAAACCACGUCACACAGGAAACCACGUCAGACAGGAACCACGUCACAGGAAACCACGUCACACACAGGAAACCACGUCAGACAGGAAACCACGUCACAGGAAACACGUUUAGGUAGAAGUUGAAACAAAUGGUUUUUAGCAAUUCUUUGCAAUUUGCAGAUUCUUUGACAUUGAAAUAUCACAAUGAGCAUGAAAAUGUGAGGUUGUAAAGUGGGCCGCUGGGUGGUGCCGCUCUGCAUCCAUGGCGACGAUCAUCCACCCGAUCCAGUUGGUGCUGGGCAGAAGGCUGGGGGCCAUCCAGGGAAACUCUCUCUCCACACGGUAGUCCUGGUUUCUGCUGUAUCACUGUUUAUCUGAGCGCUAUCAUCCCGUAAGCCUCUGGGAUCUACUGAGACGUGUGGACAGCUGGUGGCUAAACAAGUGUCAAACACUGGAGGAGACCUGAGACGAAAGGCAAGGGGGUCAUAAGGAGUCCCAUUUGUUGCAGCCGAUGUGCAGAAUUCAGCAGCAGUUUCUUGGCUGGUUUCAGAUCAGAGUUUAAAACAGAAACACUUCAGUAUAAACUCCAGAGGUCCAAGGCGCUGCUUAAUGAGAAUGAGAGUAUGAACCUGAAUAAAUGAGGUUAAACCCGCGGCGGCAUUCAGCGGGGACAUUACACCAACAGGACUUGUGGAAGGCGGAGUUGUGGAGACGAGGCCCUGAGGACAAACACUGUUUUAUUGUCAGUUUGAAUCAACGCUCAACGUCUCACGUCUCUGACAUCCAAAGUACAUGCGCGAGUGUUACAGAGCGCGGAGAACACUGAGGCUCGUUGUUAAUAUUCAUCCAUCUUUGCUUCGGGUUAAUCUGCACCAAGGCCUACGAGGGUCCAUGAACGCAUCACUUUAGAUAAACCAGCUAAAGCUACCGAGCUAACGAGAGUAGCAAUCUGACUCUCACAAGGAGCACGUUGUAGCGACCUGCAGAUCAACGUCACAAAUACAAAGUGGACAGAAGGUAACUUCACACCCAGACUCGCUCUACCGUCACCCGUCGUCGUGGUAACCAACGCUAUCAGCGUAGCGACGCAGGCCUCAGAAGCAGCACUUGGUGUUGAGAAACCUCCCCGACCGCAGCGCAACAUCCAGGCCAAACCGCCGUGUG